rnacentral:rRNA from 1 species
AUACAUGGGAUACUUAGUACGGCGAGUGAAGCGGUAAAAGCUCAAAUUUGAAAUCUGGUACUUUCAGUGCCCGAGUUGUAAUUUGUAGAAUUUGUCUUUGAUUAGGUCCUUGUCUAUGUUCCUUGGAACAGGACGUCAUAGAGGGUGAGAAUCCCGUUUGGCGAGGAUACCUUUUCUCUGUAAGACUUUUUCGAAGAGUCGAGUUGUUUGGGAAUGCAGCUCAAAGUGGGUGGUAAAUUCCAUCUAAAGCUAAAUAUUGGCGAGAGACCGAUAGCGAACAAGUACAGUGAUGGAAAGAUGAAAAGAACUUUGAAAAGAGAGUGAAAAAGUACGUGAAAUUGUUGAAAGGGAAGGGCAUUUGAUCAGACAUGGUGUUUUUUGCAUGCACUCGCCUCUCGUGGGCUUGGGCCUCUCAAAAAUUUCACUGGGCCAACAUCAAUUCUGGCAGCAGGAUAAAUCAUUAAGAAUGUAGCUACUUCGGUAGUGUUAUAGCUUUUUGGAAUACUGUUAGCCGGGAUUGAGGACUGCGCUUCGGCAAGGAUGUUGGCAUAAUGGUUAAAUGCCGCCCGUCUUGACCCCCCGGACCA